GGGGUGCAGCAGGCGCGAAACCUCCGCAAUGUGAGAAAUCGCGACGGGGGGAUCCCAAGUGCCAUUCUUAACGGGAUGGCUUUUCAUUAGUGUAAAGAGCUUUUGGAAUAAGAGCUGGGCAAGACCGGUGCCAGCCGCCGCGGUAACACCGGCAGCUCUAGUGGUAACAAUUUUUAUUGGGCCUAAAGCGUCCGUAGCCGGUUUAAUAAGUCUCUGGUGAAAUCCUGUAGCUUAACUGUGGGAAUUGCUGGAGAUACUAUUAGACUUGAGAUCGGGAGAGGUUAGAGGUACUCCCAGGGUAGAGGUGAAAUUCUGUAAUCCUGGGAGGACCGCCUGUUGCGAAGGCGUCUAGCUGGAACGAUUCUGACGGUGAGGGACGAAAGUUAGGGGCGCGAACCGGAUUAGAUACCCGGGUAGUCCUAACUGUAAACGAUGCGGACUUGGUGUUGGGGUGGCUUUGAGCUGCUCCAGUGCCGAAGGGAAGCUGUUAAGUCCGCCGCCUGGGAAGUACGGUCGCAAGACUGAAACUUAA
rnacentral:rRNA from 1 species